rnacentral:rRNA from 1 species
ACGCAACCUCAGCUCAGGCGGGGCUACCCGCUGAGUUUAAGCAUAUCAAUAAGCGGAGGAAAAGAAACUAACAAGGAUUCCCCUA